CGCCGCCUCCGCAUCGGAGAACGGGGAGGCCGGGGCCUCUGGAUCUGGUGACCCUGGCCUCCCCGCAUGUGGAUCUGGUUGGGCCGA
rnacentral:pre_miRNA from 1 species